UCUAUAGAGGUGCAACUGACAUUAGUAGCAAUUAGCAGUUAGGCAAAACGAAGAUGAAUUGUGAAAGGGGAGGUUGCCGAAGCUUAUUUCAUGCCAAAGAGAUAAGCUGGGUCGCAGUUGAAUAAAUUGCGAACUGUCGCGAAAACAUAAUUCGCGGAGCGCUAUCG
rnacentral:ncRNA from 1 species